rnacentral:rRNA from 1 species
GACGAACCGUGCGAACGUUGUUCGGAAUCACUGGGCUUAAAGGGCGCGUAGGCGGCUCCGCAAGUCGGGGGUGAAAUCUUUCGGCUUAACCGGAAAAGUGCCUCUGAUACUGCGGAGCUCGAGGGAGGUAGGGGCGGACGGAACUUCCGGUGGAGCGGUGAAAUGCGUUGAUAUCGGAAGGAACGCCGGUGGCGAAAGCGGUCCGCUGGCCCUCUACUGACGCUGAGGCGCGAAAGCCAGGGGAGCAAACAGG